GAUGAACGCUGGCGGCGUGCCUAAUACAUGCAAGUAGAACGCUGAAGGAAGGAGCUUGCUCUUUCCGGAUGAGUUGCGAACGGGUGAGUAACGCGUAGGUAACCUGCCUGGUAGCGGGGGAUAACUAUUGGAAACGAUAGCUAAUACCGCAUAACAGUAGAUGUUGCAUGAUAUCUACUUAAAAGGUGCAAUUGCACCACUACCAGAUGGACCUGCGUUGUAUUAGCUAGUUGGUGAGGUAACGGCUCACCAAGGCGACGAUACAUAGCCGACCUGAGAGGGUGAUCGGCCACACUGGGACUGAGACACGGCCCAGACUGCUACGGGAGGCAGCAGUAGGGAAUCUUCGGCAAUGGACGGAAGUCUGACCGAGCAACGCCGCGUGAGUGAAGAAGGUUUUCGGAUCGUAAAGCUCUGUUGUAAGAGAAGAAAGAGUGUGAGAGUGGAAAGUUCACACUGUGACGGUAUCUUACCAGAAAGGGACGGCUAACUACGUG
rnacentral:rRNA from 1 species